CGACGGUGAGCUCGGUGACUGGGACUAAGUCGUAACAAGGUAGCCGUAGGUGAACCUGCAGAACGAUCA
rnacentral:rRNA from 1 species